GGAGCAAAGAACCAAGAAGAAACCUUUGUUGUUCAAAAUUCUGAAAAUUAGAAGGGUUUAAGAAGCCAAAUCAGAUGCAUGAACUCAAAAUCUUAAUCAUCUAAGCUUGUUCAUCAAAGUGAAUGAAUUGGCGUAAAGGAAGAAAGUUCAAGUCAAGCGAAGCAACAAGGGAAUCAAGAUCAAGGUACGCUUCUUGUACGAUUCAUGGUUUUAUUAUAGUUUUGCUUAUUACUAUCUAG
rnacentral:lncRNA from 1 species